rnacentral:rRNA from 1 species
AAAGAAAAUAACAAUGAUUCCCCUAGUAACUGCGAGUGAAGAGAGACAAGCUCAAAUUUUAAAUCUAUCGGGUUUUACCCGAUCGAGUUGUAAUUUGAAGAAGCGUUCUCUGCGUUUUUGGGUCAGCCCAAGUCCUAUUGAAUGAGGCAUCAUGGAGGGUGAUAAUCCCGUCCGGUUGAUCAUUUGCGUUUUACGAUACGCUUUCUAAGAGUCAAGUUGUUUGGGAUUGCAGCUUAAAAUGGGAGGUAAAUUUCUCCUAAGGCUAAAUAACGGCGAGAGACCGAUAGCGAACAAGUACCGUGAGGGAAAGAUGAAAAGAACUUUGAAAAGAGAGUUAAACAGUACGUGAAAUUGUUGAAAGGGAAACGAUUGAAGCCAGUCGUACCUUCGGGUAAUCAGCCUUUCGGGUGCGAUUCUGUGGAGUGUGAGGAGCUUAACACCUUCAUGCUUUGCAUAUUUGUGCUCUUGGGUGUACUUGCCCGUGUGGUUGGUUAACAUCAAUUUUGAUUAUCAUAAAAUGACUGGAGGAAUGUAGCUUCGAUCUCGUAUUGAAGUGUUAUAGCCUUCGGUAGAUGUGAUGAUCGAGAUUGAGGAUUGCAACGGAUACCCUUCGGGGCUACCUGUCUGGUCUCUGAUCGUUGCUCUGGUGCCGAAAGCGUGCUUACGGUUAUCAAAGUCGAUGGUCAAUAGGUUAGAACGGGUUAAAUU